CAGAACCCGAUCCCAUCUCGAACUCGGCCGUUAAACACACCAGCGCCCAUGGUACUGUGUCUCAAGACACGGGAGAGUCGGUCGCCGCCAGAC
rnacentral:rRNA from 1 species